UACUCUUUUUGUUGUCUACAUGCAGUAUCAUACAAGUAAAGCCAAUAUCUUUUCUUACAGUUUAGCUUCGUAGAAAGUGUAAUCUCGGGUAUUUUGGAAGCAUUUCCUUCGACUCAUCAACAAAAGCGGGUUGUAGUCACCCUGAGCGUUUGUCUCGUCUCCUUUCUGUCUACUAUUCCUUUUGUGACUGCGGGAGGAGUGUACUACUUCCAGUUGUUGGACUGGUACUCCGCGUCCUUGAACGCCCUUGUGACUGGCUGCCUGGAAUGUGUGGUCAUCUACUGGAUCUACGGUUCUGAUAAGUUCAGCAAAGAUAUAGAAAGGAUGACGGGCCGUCGUCCUCCACUUGUCUUGAGCCUUCUGUCGUCUUAUGUUAC